rnacentral:rRNA from 1 species
AUUGAACGCUGGCGGCAGGCCUAACACAUGCAAGUCGAGCGAGCGGCGGACGGGUGAGUAAUGUAUGGGGACUGCCCGAUAGAGGGGGAUAACCACUGGAAACGGUGGCUAAUACAGCAUAAUAUCGGAUAACCAAUAUGGGGUUAGCUAGUAGGUGGGGUAAAGGCUCACCUAGGCGACGAUCUCUAGCUGGUCUGAGAGGAUGGUCAGCCAAACUGGGACUGAGACACGGCCCAGAAUCCUACGGAGGCGGCAGGGGGGAGUGGUGCACAAUCGGCGCAAGCCUGAUGCAGAGACGCCGCGUGGGGGAUGAAGGCUUGCGGGUUGUAAACCUCUUUCGCUAUCGAACGGGUAGGUGGAGAAGAAGCGCCGGCUAACUACGUGGCAGGAGCCGCGGUAGUUC